ensembl:snoRNA SNORD36 Small nucleolar RNA SNORD36
UUGGCGAUGAUGCAUGAAUUUCUUCACCUGGAAUCACUGUGAAGAGUAAAAUCCGAGCUUUUUAACCCUGAGUCAGA